UCGUGCGUAAAGAUUCAAAAUAGUAAUAGAAUAGGAAAGUAGAAGGAAGUAGCAUAUAGAUUUGUUUAGUAAAAAAUCUCUGGAAAAUGCCUAUUCACUGGAAAGCCAUACCGCAACUGAUUGUGGCUCUGCCACUAAUCGACUACAUGUUCUCGGUGGUGGUCAAAUUGGAGAUCAUGGAGCAAAAGCGUCUCCGAGAGAUGGAGACUGCCAGCCCACAAAAGCCCGACGUAAAAGAGUGUUAAAAAGAAUCAAACGACGGACGAGUGUUACCCCAAAAUCACAGCCAAAUGAAGACAAGAAACAGUGGAGAUCUGGAGGGCACAGCAGGAAGGGCUCAAGUGGUCCUGCCUUUGGCUGGGGGUUUGGGGUAAACUCUUUUUGGAUUUGUUGUAUCUUCAUGUGUCAAAUUCUCGAAUGUCUUACAACCAACUAAAGCUCUCAGUCUACGGGUUGCCUAGUGC